AAGGCUCUUAAACAGGUGCCUCUUCAGAGAGACAGGUGAGUCUCUACUACUAAAGGCCCUGUGUGGAAAAUGGAAGACAUGGAUAUCUUGGAUUAUUUGGUCACUGACCUUCUUGAAGACUGUUGCAAGGAAUGAAUUAGAUGUGUCACAGGAUGGUAAUCAUUUAACAUGACACUGUGUCAAAAAACAUAUCUGUCUCUUAAAAAGAUCUCCAAUGUUGUAAUCAGAAGAGAGACCUGGAACUUCCGUGGAGAUGGAGGACACUCAGAAUAAAUGUCACCAAUGUUCAGAUAGCCAGGGUGGCCAGCAAAGGAGUUUCUGCAUGAACAUGAGAAAUCCACACUGCUUUAGGAUAGGCAGCACAGAGGCGGCCCAGGUGAAGGAGGGGGUGCGGGAGCCUGACUUCCAUCCUUGUGCAAUGCAGCCACGUGGAGGGAAGGGGAAACAGGUGGAGAGGGUGCCCACCGUGGAGCUGCUUCUGCCACUGAAUCCGUCUCACUCUGAUACUCACACCACGUUAAAGAAGGUGGCCAUUGCACGAGUUUUUAUUUCUCCUGAGAAGAAAAUCUAAGAGAAUGGAGCCGUAACAAGGUCCAGGGUCUUGCCCGACAAUGGGCAACUCCUGUGUGAAAGAAUCAAGAAGCAGUUCUGGAGACAGGGAUGCUGACCCUGAACUGAGAGCUCUCGGCACUACACUACAGUUUGUCAAUUCCAGAGGCCAAGUAAAGGCUUUGUAAAGUGCUGAGUGGGGAAAUGCUAAAGCUGCUCUCACGAAGGGAGAUUUGUUCAAUAAUCCCCAGGAUUGCAGCGAAACACCCAAGGACAGAUAUAUCUACUCGGCUGUAGUCAAGACACCUCCAUCUCCCCCAGGUUAAAGCCAAGAAGUCCCCAAUAUCUGCUAGUCGUCCAAGAAUAAAGCAGGCUGAAAUUCAUUUGGAUCCAUGUCUCCAUUUGCUAGUGUUUUAAGUCCAAACUCUCAACCUCAAAUUCCUGUCCUAAGCAAA